GAGGAAUAUUGGUCAAUGGACGAGAGUCUGAACCAGCCAAGUCGCGUGAAGGAAGACGGUUCUAUGAAUUGUAAACUUCUUUUGUGCAGGAAUAAAGUGGGUUACGUGUAACCUUUUGUAUGUACCGAAUGAAUAAGCACCGGCUAACUCCGUGCCAGCAGCCGCGGUAAUACGGAGGGUGCGAGCGUUGUCCGGAUUUAUUGGGUUUAAAGGGUGCGUAGGUGGCUUUUUAAGUCAGUGGUGAAAUACAGCCGCUCAACGGUUGAGGUGCCAUUGAUACUGAAGAGCUUGAAACAAGUGGAGGUUGCCGGAAUGGAUGGUGUAGCGGUGAAAUGCAUAGAUAUCAUCCAGAACACCGAUUGCGAAGGCAGGUGACUACGUUUGAUUUGACACUGAGGCACGAAAGCAUGGGGAGCAAACA
rnacentral:rRNA from 1 species